rnacentral:rRNA from 1 species
GUGGGGAAUAUUGGACAAUGGGCGAAAGCCUGAUCCAGCCAUGCCGCGUGUGUGAAGAAGGUCUUCGGAUUGUAAAGCACUUUAAGCGAGGAGGAGGCUACUCUAGUUAAUACCUUGCUGUUUUGACGUUACCGACAGAAUAAGCACCGGCUAACUCUGUGCCAGCAGCCGCGGUAAUACAGAGGGUGCAAGCGUUAAUCGGAUUUACUGGGCGUAAAGCGCGCGUAGGUGGCCAAUUAAGUCAAAUGUGAAAUCCCCGAGCUUAACUUGGGAAUUGCAUUCGAUACUGGUUGGCUAGAGUAUGGGAGAGGAUGGUAGAAUUCCAGGUGUAGCGGUGAAAUGCGUAGAGAUCUGGAGGAAUACCGAUGGCGAAGGCAGCCAUCUGGCCUAAUACUGACACUGAGGUGCGAAAGCAUGGGGAGCAAACAGGAUUAGAUACCCUAGUAGUCC